rnacentral:rRNA from 1 species
AACGAACGCUGGCGGCAUGCCUAACACAUGCAAGUCGAACGAGACCUUCGGGUCUAGUGGCGCACGGGUGCGUAACGCGUGGGAAUCUGCCCUUAGGUUCGGAAUCACUCCCCGAAAGGGGUGCUAAUACCGGAUAAUGUCUUCGGACCACAGAUUUAUCGCCUUUGGAUGGGCCCGCGUUGGAUUAGCUAGUUGGUAGGGUAAAAGCCUACCAAGGCGACGAUCUAUAGCUGGUCUGAGAGGAUGAUCAGCCACACUGGGGCUGAGACACAGCCCAGACUCCUACGGGAGGCAGCAGAGGGGAAUAUUGGACAAUGGGCGAAAGCCUGAUCCAGCAAUGCCGCGUGAGUGAUGAAGGACUGAGGGUUGUAAAGCUCUUUUACCCGGGAUGAUAAUGACAGUACCGGGAGAAUAAGCUCCGGCUAACUCCGUG